GCCCCUUUAAGCUGUUGGGCACCACAUGGUACACUAGACAAACCAAACAAAAGCCAAAAAGUAUGGAGGACAAACGUAUAUGUUAAAAUAAAUAUCCCCAAAGAAGCCCUGUUGACCAUGUCAAACUUUCCCUUCAUUGGAAGCAUUCGGAGGCUGUUAAGAAUUUCUUGCCAUGGAGGAGCUAGCUACCGUGUAAUCAGAGGUCGACAAGCACUAAGGAAAAGGCGUGUCCAAGAUGCUCCAAGAAGAACAAAAAACAUCAGUCAAACACAUCAUUCAAGUAUGGAAACUCUUAGACUGUGCAAUUAGCAAAUGUCACUAUAAAAUUAAAGCUCCAGUAAGGAACUUUUA